GCUAAGUUACUUCUGACAGGAAUGAGCUAGCAGGGGCAGAGAUGGGGUUGAGAUCUACAGAGGUACUUAGAUGCCUAAACCUGAGAUGUAGGCACCUAAAUUCCAGUUUUAGGUACCAAUGGCAUCCACAGAACUCCUGCUCAGCUGCUGCCUAGCUCUGUAGGUGCCCAAACUCACUCAACGCCUAAGUGUUUGCCUCUGAGCACAUACACUGCUGCCUCCCUCUAGGUGUUCAGAUGCCCACCUCUCACCUAAGCCCCAGAGCAGUCCACAGACGGCUGGAAGACAGGCAGAGAAGUGCCGUUCUCAUCCAUGGGGCCCAAUCUGGUUACUGGCCUAGUGAAUAGCUGAGAAGAUGUGAUAUAUCUUGAUUUUAGUCAUGCUUCUGAUGCAGUCUCACGUGACAUUCUCAUAAGCGAACUAGGGAAAUGUGGUCUAGAUAAAAUUACUAUAAGUAGCACCCAGAAACUUCAAUCAAGAUUGAGGCCCCCUUUGUGUGACGAACUGUACACACACGUGAGAAAAAGAUGUUCCUUCCCCAAAGAGCUUACUAUAUAUGAGGACAGACAUCAUCCUGAUACACCCAGCAGAUGGGGGCAGCAUAAGCUAAGAGUUACAAGAAGAACUUGUCUUGUGAUCAGAAGCCAUUUUCAGGGAAGUAACAGUCUUCUCUCUUGUUGAAUGGGAUAAGAGGUGGGCGUAAGAUGGACGUUCUCUA